UACUAGGAUGCUGACAUCUUUGUGUG
rnacentral:piRNA from 1 species